rnacentral:rRNA from 1 species
GACGAACGCUGGCGGCGUGCCUAAUACAUGCAAGUCGAACGCACUCUCGUUUAGAUUGAAGGAGCUUGCUCCUGAUUGAUAAACAUUUGAGUGAGUGGCGGACGGGUGAGUAACACGUGGGUAACCUGCCCUAAAGUGGGGGAUAACAUUUGGAAACAGAUGCUAAUACCGCAUAAAACCUAACACCGCAUGGUGUAGGGUUGAAAGAUGGUUUCGGCUAUCACUUUAGGAUGGACCCGCGGUGCAUUAGUUAGUUGGUGAGGUAAAGGCUCACCAAGACCGUGAUGCAUAGCCGACCUGAGAGGGUAAUCGGCCACACUGGGACUGAGACACGGCCCAGACUCCUACGGGAGGCAGCAGUAGGGAAUCUUCCACAAUGGACGAAAGUCUGAUGGAGCAACGCCGCGUGAGUGAAGAAGGUUUUCGGAUCGUAAAACUCUGUUGUUGGAGAAGAAUGUAUCUGAUAGUAACUGAUCAGGUAGUGACGGUAUCCAACCAGAAAGCCACGGCUAACUACGUGCCAGCAGCCGCGGUAAUACGUAGGUGGCAAGCGUUGUCCGGAUUUAUUGGGCGUAAAGCGAGCGCAGGCGGUUUCUUAAGUCUGAUGUGAAAGCCUUCGGCUCAACCGAAGAAGUGCAUCGGAAACUGGGAAACUUGAGUGCAGAAGAGGACAGUGGAACUCCAUGUGUAGCGGUGAAAUGCGUAGAUAUAUGGAAGAACACCAGUGGCGAAGGCGGCUGUCUGGUCUGUAACUGACGCUGAGGCUCGAAAGCAUGGGUAGCAAACAGGAUUAGAUACCCUGGUAGUCCAUGCCGUAAACGAUGAGUGCUAGGUGUUGGAGGGUUUCCGCCCUUCAGUGCCGCA